UCUCUUCUUUCUCUCUAGCUUGCUUUGCACGUGUGGUUGAUAUCAUUUUUAAAAAUGCCUAAAAAAUACUUGUUGGAAAUGGCAUGUGUGCAUUCUAUAUAUAAAAUUCAUAAUAUUUGAACAAUGAUUCUUCACCGAGGAAAUAUCUGUAUUCGAUGAUUGCUGGACUAUGGUGCAAUAGAUGCUAUGAGAACGUGUCAACUGGUUUGGCCAGAAAAUGUGUGUCCCAUUGAAGAAAUGUUUUAAGCUCUUAGAGGCCCUUCUGCUUAAUAAAAGAUGUUUGCUUUUUUUCGCUAAAGGAGCAUAAAAAACAUUGAUAUGGUAUCACAUCGGAUUUUAUUGGACCCCCCCUGACGUCGAUUGGAAGGUUUUUCUUUGUCAAAGUUGACUGCAAAAAAUGU
rnacentral:sRNA from 1 species